ensembl:lincRNA
GUUUGUAGGUCGGAUUGUUUGGUUAGAAACCGGCUGUGAUGAGGCGCGGGUCCCGGCCCCCAGAUUGUGAUGUCUCAGGGGGCGGUGGGCCGGGUGACGCAACUGGGGGUGGGCCCGUGGGUCCCAGUACCUGGUCCAGGAGGCAGCGUCUCCCUCCCGUCCGGGAUAAGACACCCCCUCCGCGGGUCCCCUGUCCACUCUGGAGAGGCAGCCCCCACUUGGAGGGACCAGGACCCGAGCCCUGCCCAUCCCCGAAUCCUGGGAGCCCUGCGUGGGGAGUGUCGAGGGCCUGGGUCGGGGGGCAAACUAGUGUGGAGGAAUCCUGUGGGAUAUAACGCAAAGGCUGGUAGCAGAGAGAGAUGCUGA